AACACCGCCCCGUCCUCCUCCUCGUCCCCCCACUCCUGCACGGGGUCCUGCGGGAAGGAGACGCAAGGCCGUCAGGAUGCGGCGAGAGGGAAGCUUCCAACGCAUUGUGGAGUCUCCGCUCACGGCCCAGCACUGAAUGAGGAAUCAAGGUUUUGUGCUACGGAGCCACAGUCAAAGUGAAAACGAAGCCUGCCGAGCCCCUGGACACAGCCCUGUGGCACAAAGUGUCCACGCGCUGCCUGGAGCCCAGUGUCAUUUUAACACCACAUCUGUAACAAUAGAAUCUGCACAAACAACGGAUCUCACAUGACAGAAACUCUGACUAAAACCAGUGUUGCCUUCCAGACAACAAUGACACAGAGCUGGAGCAACAGCCUGCGGUGAAGUGAAUGAAGCCAUUAUGUCAUGUUGGUCCAGGUGACGGAGACAGCGCUCCAAACACAUGCAUAUUACAAAUUAUAAUAUCAAUAAAAAAACUGAUUUAACGCAGCAUCAUCACAA